GGUAAAUAAAUUGUUUGGUGAGAAAACUUAUCAAAGCGGGUCCGGGGUGAGGAUUGGCAGUGUGGAAGAAGGAAAAACGGCCAAGAUAUAAUACAUAAGAAGACAAGAGGAUUCACCAAAGAGGAUGAAAAGGAAAAGGAACAAGAACAUAUACACAUGUAAAUCAUGGCUAUAACAGAAUUCAAAUGAAACCUUGAAGUUAAUUUUGGAAAGGACAAUUUCAGGAAUUGGGACAGCUUUUAGAUGCAUUUCUCUUCAAGGUAGAAAAAAGUCAUCUUAAAUAUAUGAGUGGAGAUGCAACAUCAUGAAGUUCAAAGUAAAGUGCAAAGCUGAAUAUCAUAAAAUCUCCAAACAAUGGUGAAGCCUUAAAAGUUGGAGAUAUGGCAUUAUUUUUUUUUCCUUAGAAAGUACCAUGAUGUCUGUUAUUUAAUAAUUUAGUUUCCCAAAUGAGGAGCAAUGUAGCUGGCUUGUCAGAGUGAUUUUCCUGAAGAUGAAAUUGGAAAUGAGAAUAUUCAUGUGUGUCUCCAUACUGGAAAUCCUGAAGAUUCAACCAUAUUUCUAAGUGACUCAGUGAGGUCAUUAUUUAAGGAAGCUCUUAACAGCACACUAAUGAGAUCUACUUGGAGUAGUUUAAUACAGUAAGAGUGAUCUCCCCUUAGAAGUCAGAUAGAGAAAAAUGGUUGCUUACCAUUUAUUUCACAAUUUGUAAUAGAUUAAAACAUUUUUACUAGCAUUAUCUUAGACAAAGAAUAAAUAAUUGAUUAAUAUUCACAUUAAUUUUCAACAUAAUUAGUGAACAACAGGGUUUUCUGUUCAUGAAUAAUUCAUAACAUUUUUCUUGUAGAAAUAAUGCAGGUACAUGUACUUGUUGAAAAUGAACUAAUAUUAUAUGAUAUUUUUAUAUGCCCAUCUUAAGACGGGACGUAUUAUGUUAUAGGCUUCGUGUCCGUCCGUCUGUCCGUCUGUCUGUUAGCUUUUUCAUUUCCGGCUCAUAACUUUAAUACUACUAGGCCUAGGAUUACCAAACUUUGUCAUCUGAUGCAUCUUGGGUAGAAGGUGUGUCGCGCACAAAAAGUAGGUCGCUCUGACCUUUAAUUAAGAAGUUAUAGCCAAAUAUGGAAAAAUCCUUUCCGGCCCAUAACUAGAAAACCAUAAGACCUACAAUCAUCAAACUUGGCCAGUUUAUGCAUCUUAGGUAGAAGGUGUGUCGCGACCUAUUUCAAGGUCACUGUGACCUUUAAUUUAAGUGAAUUUUUAAAAAAAAAAUGUGUCUUUUUACUAUUCAUUUACACAUCCCAAAUAAUGUAAGAGUAUUGCACUGUUCUUAUUAAAAAAGUGUUAAAUCAAGAAAAUACUUAUUUUUUUUAAGCAUAUACUUGACAGCAAUCUAGAACAAAUAUAAUGUAUGUUAGAGAAAUCCCAUGUCUCCCAUGAGUGUAAUUAUCAAACACUGGUCAAGAAGAAUUUUGAUAACAGAAAAUUGCAUGUCAAAUUAGAGAGAAAUUAAUGGGUUUUGAGUGUGAGUAGCUAAUUGACAGAGCAUUGGCGUUAUCUAUAUCCCUUGAGAAUUGGGCAAAUGGGUAAGCCUGUUUGAUUCAAAAUAGCUCUUGUUGACUAGCUUAAGUUUUGAAAUGAAUUUGAAAACUAAUUUGAUAUUGCAUAAUAGACUAAUCUGAUAUUAUGUAAUAUUAUUAAUUUAAAAACUAAUUUUAUGGGGUGGGGUUGAAUCAGCAUGUCCAUAUGAAUUACAUACUAAAACCUGUCGGACAUUAAAUCUCAACCAAAAAAAAAAUCUGAGAGUGUUUUAUAUGUUUUUAAAAAAAAAUUAUAGUAGAUAGUGCAGACCCAUUCAUCUCUUGGUAGUGACAAGCAUCCAGUUAAAGAUUAAUUAAUGAGUUCAAUGUAGGAAGGCUAGCUGUCUCAGUCGCUCUGAUUAAGCAGCCCUUUGGGGAUUAGACAGAAGAACUGCUGGUCAGUUUAUAACAUGUCAUUUGAUGGCCAGCCUUUUUUUUUCAAAAUUAAUUUGGUAUAGCAUAAUAAACUGUUUUGAUAUUACAUAAUAUUAUGAACUUUAAAAAACUAAUUUUAUGGGGGUGGGGUGGAAUCAGCAUGUCCAUAUGAUUUGCAUAUUAAAACCUGU